CUCUCCCUUUUUUUCUUCCUCCCAACCACCAUGGUGGUGGAAAACUAGGGUCGGUCACCUUCAUUGGUCCUCAACAGUCGGGCACCUUUGGUGGCUCCCAACAGCAGUGAGACUAUGCCCCCAAUGAUGGCUCUUGCCGGUGGGGGUCAACAUCCCAAAUCCAAACAUGGACUGUCCUGUUCAAGCCAAUGGACUACCAAUCUGAUGGAUUGUUGGACCCAUCCAACUAUCGGUGACAAGAAAAAGACCGAAAAAAGAAAAAAAAAAAGGGAGAGAAGGAGAUUACCUUGGUCUGAUAGAGCUAGAGGAGGUUUUCAGCAACCUCUUCCUAUCAGCAACCCAAGAGAAAAAUUUGAGAAAUUCUGGACAAUCAACGGUGAUUCUUCAAGCAACCAAGGUGGAGAUCCAAGGGAGGGAAGAGGCUUCUUAUAGAUGGGACUCCUAACGUGAAUUGGACUCCCAUCGGUCCCGGUUUCGAUGAGAUCAGGAGCGAAGUGGACUCCUUUCCUGAUGGAGAGGCUGGGUGCAUAGUCGAGUAUCCUCAACAUCCAUUACUAUCCUUCUGAAUGGACAAGCUGGUAAAUAGAUGAAAUGCAAAGAGGGGUUGAGGCAAGAUGACCCACUCUCACUGUCACUUUUCAUUUUAGUAGUUAAUGUUUUGUCUUCGAUACUCAAGAGGGCCUCAGCUAUUGGACUCAUAGAAGGCACUGGGAGACGUGGAAUUUAGCGGCUUAUCCUCUUUGCAAUUUGUUGACGAUACUCUCUUAUUUUAUGCUAGCGAAAAGCAAAAAUGCAUUGACGGCUGAAGCCAUAGUGCUAGCCUUUGAAUGUGCUUCAAAUUGAAAGUUAACUUUCAUAAGAGCUCGUUAUUAUGUUUAAAUAUGGCCGAGGAGGAAGCUUCUUUAUUGACAUCCUAAUUAGUUGUAAACAAGGAUCUUUUCCUUUCA